AUGGUGGUGGAGAACGCUGAGUUUCUGAGCACUUUCCCAGGGAAUGAGCAAGAUAGCUACCAUCACUCAGAUGAUUCUGAUGGACUAGGCGUACUGUGCAUGUCACGGCAGCAGCUUCUUAUCCUCACUAUGAGUGUGUGCUGGAGCAGUCAAAUUGCAGUCUGGUUGUUUUCCUGGGUUCUUCACAUUUCCUAUGUCAAGGCGAAGGAAAAACCAUGGAGGUGUCUCCUGCUUCCCUGAGCACAGAUAACAUUGCUGUAAACCUGGAGCCACGUGACUGCUCUCAUCAGAAUGGAGGAGAUGAUCACAGCUGGAAUUUAUACAAGACUCCAUUCAGUGAGGCCGACCCUCCCCCCAGAUGGGAACCCA
rnacentral:lncRNA from 1 species